CCCUUAGAUGUUCUGGGCCGCACGCGCGCUACACUGAUGCAUUCAACGAGCCUAUCCUUGACGGACAGGUCCGGGUAAUCUUUGAAUCUGCAUCGUGACGGGGAUAGAUUAUUGCAAUUAUUAAUCUUCAACGAGGAAUGCCUAGUAGGCGCAAGUCAUCAGCUUGCGUCGAUUACGUCCCUGCCCUUUGUACACACCGCCCGUCGCUCCUACCGAUUGGGUGUGCUGGUGAAAUGUUCGGAUCGGCCGUUUGUCGCGGUUUCCGCGGCUCGUGGCUGAGAAGUUCAUUAAACCCUCCCACCUAGAGGAAGGAGAAGUCGUAACA
rnacentral:rRNA from 1 species